AAGUUUCAACAACGGAUCUCUUGGCUCUCGCAUCGAUGAGAACGCAGCGAAAUGCGAUAAGUAAUGNGAAUUGCAGAAUUCAGUGAAUCAUCGAAUCUUUGAACGCACCUUGCGCCCCUUGGUAUUCCGAAGGGCAUGCCUGUUUGAGUGUCA
rnacentral:rRNA from 1 species